UCUGCCUCACCUUCGCGAACAGAUGUUAUUCUUACGAUUAAUCUCGUCGCUGUUUGUUAACCAGUUAGUCGUUGCGACCACUUUGGUAACUUUGCAAAGCAAUGUGAAUGAACCGUGUGGCAAAAAGUAAGCGGCGACGAGUAUACUCGUCAAGCACAGAGUGUGUGUUAUAAUGUGGAAUUAAGCUGCAACGAAACGGUUGUCUUAUUUUUGAAUUUAAUUAGUGACAGGUUCGUGGUAAUACAAAAUGUUCCUUCAUGACGAGUAUACUCGCGAAAAACGGCCAACUGGUUGAAAGCAACAAUGGAUGAGAUAGCGUUGUAAGUGUUUGUAUAUGUCAGAAGUAUGCAAUCAUUUUGAAGUAACAGAAUACAUUGCAAAAAGUAAGCGGCGACGAGUAUACUCGUCAAGCAUAGAGUGUGUAUUAUAAUAUGGAAUUAAGCUGCGAUGAAACGGUUGUCUUAUUUUUGAAUUUGAUUAGUGACAGGACUCGUCGUAACGCAAAGUACUGGCGUUUCUUCGUGACGAGUAUACUCGUCAAGCACAGAGUGCGUGUUAUAAUUUGGAAUUAAGCUGCAACGAAACGGUUGUUUUAUUUUUGAAUUUGAUUAGUGACAGGCUCGUGGUAAUACAAAAUGUUUCUUCAUGACGAGUAUACUCGCGAAAAACGGUUAACUGGUUGAAAGCAACGAUGGAUAAGAGAAAAGAUAGAAGAUGGAUAAGUUAGAAUAAUUGUUUAUUAAAACUUAUCCAUCUUCUAGAAGUGUGCAAACUGUAUUAAUUUGCCAACUAAUUAAUUGCUAAUUAACAGCACUAACCAAGUUAAAUGUACCAAAUGUAGCAUGCAAAUAGUAUAAUUUAAAUAGCAUAAAAGUAUUUAGUAUGUUUAUAGAAUACACGUAAUCGUAGUCAGCAACAGCUUAUCAGAAAAUGUGACGAUGAACAAUAAAUUAAAAAAAAAAAAGAAGAAAAGAAGAAAAGAA